rnacentral:piRNA from 1 species
UUGUCUCUACCGGCUCCACUAUGAUCU